rnacentral:rRNA from 1 species
AUGUACAAGAGAUUGCUAUUUGGUAUGGAGUCUCGAUGCAUAAGGCCUGCGAUCAUCAGCGGUUCUUUGGCAUACUAUGCGCAGAAGUAUAUCCUAGGACUCAGUAGGCACAGCAACAUGGGAACAGUGCCCCUGGCUGGUACUCUUUCUGAUGUAGAAGAGAAGAACUUACUUGAGGAGAUCGAUAGACUAUUGCCAGUUCAAAAGGGUUUGGUACCUAUGAAAUUUCCGCUUGGCGUGCUUAGCUAG